CCCUUAGAUGUUCUGGGCCGCACGCGCGCUACAAUGGUCUUCGCAAACGGAUGCAUUCUCGAAGGAGAAUGCCAAUCUUGGAAUCCAUGCCUUGGUCGGGACAGUUGCUUGCAAUUUUUCGACUCGAACCAGGAAUUCCUUGUAAUCGUGAUUCAUCACAUCACGAUGAAUACGUCCCUGCCCUUUGUACACACCGCCCGUCGCUCCUACCGAUCGAAGAGUUAGGUGAAUUGUUUUGAUCGAUAAGAUUUGACUAUGGUCAACUCUCGUUGUGAAAUUCUGUGAAUCUGACUGUUUAGAGGAAGGAAAAGUCGUAACA
rnacentral:rRNA from 1 species